CGGGGGGAGCAAGCGUUGUUCGGAUUUACUGGGCGUAAAGGGCGCGUAGGCGGCCACUGCAAGUCGGUUGUGAAAUCUCCGGGCUUAACCCGGAAAGGUCAAUCGAUACUGCAGGGCUAGAGUGCAGAAGGGGCAACUGGAAUUCUCGGUGUAGCGGUGAAAUGCGUAGAUAUCGAGAGGAACACCUGCGGCGAAGGCGGGUUGCUGGGCUGACACUGACGCUGACAGCGCGAAAGCUAGGGGAGCGAACGGGAUUAGAUACCCCGGUAGUCCUAGCCUUAAACGAUGAAUGCUUGGUGUCUGGGGUUUUAUAGGUCCCCGGGUGCCGUCGCUAACGCUUUAAGCAUUCCGCCGUGGGGAGUACGGUCGACAAGACUG
rnacentral:rRNA from 1 species